ensembl:lncRNA
UACCAAAUAGGGUUUUAAAAACAUCCGGUCGCUUGACAAGCGGUACGUAAUGCCAUUACACAACCAUUUUUCUCAAGUUGCCAUCCCAGAGCUGUACGAGAAAUGCAAGGCACAAAUUGAAAAAGAGCUGUCUCAAGUGGAAUAUUAUACAGUAACAACGGACAACGGAGCCCUACAUAAGUCGCAUGGUGCUGAGUGCUGCAGAGAGGGUGAUCCGCCAAGCUUCACCAAUGCCAGCUCGUAAGGUGUCGACAGUCACAGACAUCGUCCCGGAGGAGAUUGGAACGGAGGAUGUUUUUCUGCUUGGGGAACACAUUGAGGAGACUCAGUUUGGCAUCGACAACCAUCAUUCUGACUUGUUGUCAAUGGUUGUUUCUGUGUUUCUCAAAAUAAGGCUGCACCACAUUACCAAACUCAACUCUCUUGAACUGCAGAAAGGGAGCACGGGGAAGAACUGUCCUCUUUCAGGGGUUUUAGAGCGUGUGCAUGUGUGUGGUUCCGCGACAAUUCAAGACUUCAAUCCUAAAUUCCAGCAUCCCAAAAUGAAUUCUAAGCUUUCUAUCUGUACUUUAACCUUACUCAUCACACAUAGUAUCUUUAUGUCAUAUCUGUCAUCAUUCUGACAAGAUUAACACCGAAACUGAAAGCAAUGGCUUAAAACUGCCUGAAAACAGUGGUCUGUCACAUUUUAUGUGAAUACUGCUGUAAGUGUUGGUGGGUCUGUAAAUACCUCUGUUUGUUUGUGUUUCAUGAACUCUAGCCUCAUGGUGUGUGUCUCCAGGAAUCCAAAUGUUGGUCUCCUUUGCCUUAACCUGGGUUUGUGAGCUUGUGUAUAAUGAAGUUUAUCUUUACAUUAUGUCCUUGUGUUUGUGAUUGUCUUAGCCCUGAUCUCUUUCCCAAUGGGUUCUGAAAAGCACUUGUAACUGUGUUUUGAAAAUUGCUACAUUAAUUAAGUUUGCAGACUUUUCAAGGGAGUUUCAACAAAGUAAAUGUGCAGUUUAAAUAAAAACUGUCACUUUUCAUUUCAUCCUGCUAUUUUAGACUGGGACCCAUGUGUGUAUGUUGGGAUGGGGGCUGUGAAAUGAGAGAGAGAGAAAUAUAUAUUUCUGACUUUACUGCCACUAUUUACACAUUAGGUGUUUCAAUCAGAAUCAUUGUCAAACUGGAAAUGUUCCUGUUUUUCUCCCUUUUUGGGGAUUAUGUUCA